CCCGCCACUGCACCUGACCACUUCCCCGUUGGCUGGUGCAAUCCAGUGGUGAGCUGACAGUGACCCCAGCUAAGGAAACAGGGCUGUUCUUGGUGUGGGCAGCCCUGUGCCGAGAGCAUGGGCACAGCC
ensembl:snoRNA SNORA65 small nucleolar RNA SNORA65